UUUUUAAUCACGUUAAAGUCUGCGAGUGCCAUUUCCGGUGCUAUAAUCAUAAUGGUCUUACCUCAGCCCCAACCAUGUUGGGGCCGAGUUCUUAUAGACCCCAAGUGGCGGAUUCAAAGGCAACCGAGCAGCCCCCCCCCCCCAGUCCAAAUUUUUGAAAGUUAUUAAAGAAUAAUAGAGAAAAAUAAACAUAAACGCAGCAACAGAACAUGAUCCAUGCUACAAGACAUGAAAAGUAUAUAGAGGUUUUGUGAACAUUUUCCUGAAUAGUGUGAUAGCAUAAUCCUGCAGCAUACAGUCAAAUUGUAACGUGUCAAAGUAUAUGGAAUCAUCUGGCUGUUUGACAAGGACGAUAGACAAAUCUCUCUUCAAGAUAACAAGUAAUUUUUGAUGUACAUCAAAGAUUUAAUAAUACUAUGUGGCAACAGAGGUGCAGGAUAGGAAAUGUACGGCUGCAGAGCAAGACAAGGAAGAGAAACCUACUAUAAUUAAUUUUGUUUCAUAUAGGCAAUUUAACUUUUAGUUAAUUAAAUUUGUGAUGCCUAAUAGAAUACAGCGAUCCUGGUAAAAGCGAACAUACAGCAGUUGUACAGUAUUACUUAUGAAAUUAUUGCAGCAUCAAGGCAACAAUUGCUUCAUUCUGAAAAAAAACUGAGUAUAUUGUACAGAAGAUAUGAACUGGCUAAUUACAAUAUGACUAGAGAACCAGAAACCUACUAUAAUUUAUUAUUAUCUAUUAUAUAAGCCUAUAUAAUGAAUUGGUGAUGCCUAAUAAUUUACACAUGUGAUUUUGGUUAUGGAAAUAAAAAAUAUAAGUAGUG